rnacentral:rRNA from 1 species
CCUACGGGUGGCAGCAGUAGGGAAUUUUGCGCAAUGGGGGAAACCCUGACGCAGCAACGCCGCGUGAUCGAUGAAGCCCUUCGGGGUGUAAAGCUCUGUCAGUGGGGACGAAACAUGACGGUACCUACCGAGGAAGCACCGGCUAACUCCGUGCCAGCAGCCGCGGUAAUACGGGGGGUGCAAGCGUUGUCCGGAAUCAUUGGGCGUAAAGGGUUCGUAGGUGGCAAGUUAAGUCUGGUGUGAAAGUCGGAGGCACAACUUCCGUAGGGCCCUGGAAACUGGCGGGCUGGAGUGCGGGAGGGGUAGGGGGAAUGCGUGGUGUAGCGGUGAAAUGCGUAGAUAUCAGGAGGAACAUCGGUGGCGAAGGCGGUUUACUGGGCCGCAAUUGACGCUGAGGAACGAAAGCCGGGGUAGCGAACAGGAUUAGAUACCCGAGUAGUC